rnacentral:lncRNA from 1 species
AUAUUUGACAAAUAUCUUUGUCAAGUAAUGACAAGUUGCAUGGACAACCACCAUUUCUCAAGUUUUUUUCCAAAGUUUUCCCAAAUGUGAAGCAUGUACUGUAGUUGAGAAAAAUACUAAUGUGGUUGAUUAAGAAAACUUACAAGACACAAAUGUGAUUGACAAUGAAGGAUUGUUUCAUGUUGCUAAAUAUGAAAAUGUUAAUGUUUGAAGUUGGGCCAAGUGAUAUCUCAGAUCUAGAAGGGGAAUGAGCUGAAUCAAAUUAAGAAAGCAAUACCGACUCUCAAGAGGAUACUAUUCCUAAUGAGGAUGACUAUGAAGUUGGUGAAGAGUUGGGAUCUCUUAGAAAUGAAAGGAAAUACAAAUAAAAAAAGAAGAAAUUUGUUCUAACUGAGGAAAUAAGGCUUGAUAUUGAUAGAUGAAAAAGAAGAAAUCUAUUCAAACUGAGGAAAUAAGGCUUGGAACAACUGAUAUUGAUAGAGGAUUUAUAGACAUAUGAAGGAAUAAGGUUGUUAGAUACAAUUGAAGAUUAGGAGGG